GGCCAGGAGGAAAAAGAAGUGAGUCUUUAUCAUUUGGUUUUGUGCAUCAUUCUGUGGGUUAGCAUAACUACAUGAAUAGACGCUGGAAACCAAAUACAGAUCCCGAUAUACUCAUACCAUACAAGCUUAUCUUAAGAUAUUUGAGAUUUGUAACAAGUAUGCUGGGGAAUAGUCAACUGGUUAUGAAGCACAUCAUCUUGAUACAUUCACCAUUUUCAAUAACGGAAAAAGAGCAAGAGAGUACGUCCAAGAAGGGAUUCCGAAGUUAGAAGAGGAGGCAUCAACACCGUGAACAUCAUGGCUGAGUUAUUUUGUGAGAAGGAUAAGCCUAAAGUAAAAACCUUGGAUUUGCCUCUGUCCUUGAACAUGCUAUCUGGAAAGAGUUUUCUUAAAAGUAUUGUUGUGAACACAUCCAUUUUCCCAGUAUAGUUGAAAACAGGGUUUAAUAAAUGGAAUGAAUCUA